rnacentral:rRNA from 1 species
AUGGGCAAAGAGGUCGACGUGGGUGCCCUCGAGGCCGGCGGCGCCCGGGACUACUCCGACCCUCCACCGGCGCCGCUGGUGGACGUCGAUGAGCUCGGCAAGUGGUCCCUGUACCGCGCGGUGAUCGCGGAAUUCGUGGCCACGCUGCUCUUCCUCUACAUCACGGUGUCCACCGUCAUCGGGUACAAGCACCAGACGGACGCGUCGGCCUCCGGCCCCGACGCGGCGUGCGGCGGGGUGGGUAUCCUCGGCAUCGCGUGGGCGUUCGGGGGCAUGAUCUUCGUCCUCGUCUACUGCACCGCCGGCAUCUCCGGCGGGCACAUCAACCCGGCCGUGACGUUCGGCCUCUUCCUGGCGCGCAGGGUGUCCCUGGUGCGCGCGCUGCUCUACAUGGCCGCGCAGUGCCUCGGCGCCGUCUGCGGCGUCGGGCUCGUCAAGGGGUUCCAGAGCGGGCUCUACGCGCGCCACGGCGGCGGCGCGAACGAGGUCGGCGCCGGAUACUCGGUCGGUACGGGGCUCGCCGCGGAGAUAGUCGGCACCUUCGUGCUCGUCUACACCGUCUUCUCCGCCACUGAUUCCAAGCGCAACGCUCGUGACUCCCACGUCCCGGUGUUGGCGCCUCUGCCGAUCGGGUUCGCGGUGUUCAUGGUGCACCUGGCCACCAUCCCGAUCACCGGGACGGGGAUCAACCCGGCGAGGAGUCUCGGCGCCGCCGUCAUCUACAACGGCGACAAAGCCUGGAGCGAUCAGUGGAUCUUCUGGGUGGGGCCGUUCAUCGGCGCGGCGAUCGCAGCGCUCUACCACCAGACCAUCCUCCGCGCCAGCGCCAGGGGCUAUGGCUCCUUCCGUAGCAACGCCUAG